GCCGGGAUAGCUCAGCUGGGAGAGCAACAGACUGAAGCGAGUUGUGGCGCUCCGCUGCGUUCUGGAGGUCGCGUGUUCAAUCCACGCUCCUGGCA